GACGUAGGAGGCGAGCGUUAUCCGGAUUCACUGGGCGUAAAGCGCAUGUAGGCGGUUGCACAAGUCCGUUGUUAAAGCCCCUGGCUCAACUGGGGGAGGUCAAUGGAGACUGUGCGACUUGAGGGCAAUAGAGGCACGUGGAACUCCCGGUGUAGCGGUGGAAUGCGUAGAGAUCGGGAAGAACACCAGUGGCGAAGGCGGCUUCCUGGACCGACACUGACGCUGAGGCGCGAAAGCUGGGGGAGCAAACGGG
rnacentral:rRNA from 1 species